AAACUAAAAAUUUCGCUGUUCUAAACAAUGAGGUUUAUGGAAUAACAAUGGGAGCCAAUAUCUCCAACCUAACCAACAAUAUAGAAAUGACCACUAAGCUGAAGACUUCGGUCGGUAAUGCAUCCUGCACAUCUUGGGAUGGCAAUGGGAAUCUUGAGUGGACAACGUUUGGCUGCGAGACAGAAAUGAUCGACAGUAGCACCAUAAAGUGCUCAUGUUCACAUCUGACAUUCUUUGCAGUG